rnacentral:tRNA from 1 species
GGGGCCGUGGGCUAGCCUGGCUAGGCUGCGAGCCUCGGGAGCUCGUGGUCCCGGGUUCAAAUCCCGGCGGCCCCACCA